rnacentral:rRNA from 1 species
UACGUAGGGUGCGAGCGUUAAUCGGAAUUACUGGGCGUAACGCGUGCGCCGGCGGUGAUUUAAGACAGAUGUGAAAUCCCCGGGCUCAACCUGGGAACUGCAUUUGUGACUGCAUCGCUGGAGUGCGGCAGAGGGGGAUGGAAUUCCGCGUGUAGCAGUGAAAUGCGUAGAUAUGCGGAGGAACACCGAUGGCGAAGGCAAUCCCCUGGGCCUGCACUGACGCUCAUGCACGAAAGCGUGGGGAGCAAACAGG